UACAGAGGGUGCAAGCGUUAAUCGGAAUUACUGGGCGUAAAGCGUGCGUAGACGGUUACAUAAGUCGGGUGUGAAAGCCCCGGGCUCAACCUGGGAAUUGCAUUCGAGACUGCGUAGCUAGGGUGCGGAAGAGGGAAGCGGAAUUUCCGGUGUAGCGGUGAAAUGCGUAGAUAUCGGAAGGAACAUUAGUGGCGAAAGCGACUUCCUGGACCAGUACCGACGUUCAGGCACGAAAGCGUGGGGAGCAAACAGG
rnacentral:rRNA from 1 species